rnacentral:rRNA from 1 species
AGUGAACGCUGGCGGGAGGAAGAACACAUGCAAGUCGAACGGCAGCACAGUAAGAGCUUGAUCUUAUGGGUGGAGAGUGGAGUACGGGUGAGGAAUAUAUGGGAAUAUACUUUUUUGUGGGGGAUAAGGUAGGGAAACUUACGCUAAUACCGCAUACGACCUACGGGUGAAAGCAGGGGAUCUUCGGACCUUGCGCGAUUGAAUGAGCCGAUGUCGGAUUAGCUAGUUGGCGGGGUAAAGGCCCACCAAGGAGAGGGUUCGUAGCUGGUCUGAGAGGAUGAUCAGCCACACUGGAACUGAGACACGGUCCAGACUCCUACGGGAGGAAGCAGUGGGGAAUAUUGGACAAUGGGCGCAAGCCUGAUCCAGCCAUACCGCGUGGGUGAAGAAGGAAUUCGGGUUGUAAAGCCCUUUUAUUAAGAAAGAAAAGAAGCAGGUUAAUACCCCGCUGUUCUGACGGUACCCAAAGAAUAAGCACCGGCUCCCUUCGUU